UACGGGGGGUGCAAGCGUUGCUCGGAAUCACUGGGCGUAAAGCGUCCGCAGGUGGGUGUGUGUGUCGGAUGUGAAAGCCCAGGGCUCAACCCUGGAACUGCAUUCGAAACUGCACAUCUUGAGUACGGGAGAGGGAAGCAGAAUUCCUGGUGUAGAGGUGAAAUUCGUAGAUAUCAGGAGGAAUACCUGUGGCGAAAGCGGCCUCCUGGUCCGAUACUGACACUCAUGGACGAAAGCGCGGGGAGCAAACAGG
rnacentral:rRNA from 1 species